GUCGGGCAUGGUGGCGCAUGCCUGUAAUCCCAGCUACUCGGGAGACUGAGGCAGGAGAAUCACUUGAACCCGGGAGACGGAGGUUGCAGUGAGCCGAGAUAGCACCACUGCAGUCCAGCCUUGGCAACAGAGCGAGACUCUGCCUCAA
rnacentral:sRNA from 1 species